rnacentral:rRNA from 1 species
GACGAACGCUGGCGGCGUGCUUAACACAUGCAAGUCGAGCGGAAAGGCCACUUCGGUGGUACUCGAGCGGCGAACGGGUGAGUAACACGUGAGUAAUCUGCCCUUGGCUUUGGGAUAGCCACCGGAAACGGUGAUUAAUACCGGAUAUGACCACUCUAGGCAUCUAGUGGUGGUGGAAAGUUUUUCGGCCAGGGAUGUGCUCGCGGCCUAUCAGCUUGAUGGUGAGGUAAUGGCUCACCAUGGCUUCGACGGGUAGCCGGCCUGAGAGGGUGACCGGUCACACUGGGACUGAGACACGGCCCAGACUCCUACGGGAGGCAGCAGUGGGGAAUAUUGGACAAUGGGCGGAAGCCUGAUCCAGCAACGCCGCGUGAGGGAUGACGGCCUUCGGGUUGUAAACCUCUUUCAGCAGGGACGAAGCGCAAGUGACGGUACCUGCAGAAGAAGCACCGGCCAACUACGUGCCAGCAGCCGCCGUAAUAC